rnacentral:tRNA from 1 species
GAGGUUGUGGCUCUGAGAUAGAGUGCUUGCCUAACAUGCGAGAGGCACUGGGUUCGAUCCCCAGAACCACA